rnacentral:rRNA from 1 species
GAUGAACGCUGGCGGCGUGCUUAACACAUGCAAGUCGAACGAAGCAUUUGCGACAGAUUUUUUCGGAAUGAAGUUGCUUAUGACUGAGUGGCGGACGGGUGAGUAACGCGUGGGUAACCUGCCUUGUACUGGGGGAUAGCAGCUGGAAACGGCUGGUAAUACCGCAUAAGCGCACAAUGUUGCAUGACAUGGUGUGAAAAACUCCGGUGGUAUAAGAUGGACCCGCGUCUGAUUAGCUAGUUGGUGAGAUAACAGCCCACCAAGGCGACGAUCAGUAGCCGACCUGAGAGGGUGACCGGCCACAUUGGGACUGAGACACGGCCCAGACUCCUACGGGAGGCAGCAGUGGGGAAUAUUGCACAAUGGAGGAAACUCUGAUGCAGCGACGCCGCGUGAGUGAAGAAGUAAUUCGUGAUGUAAAGCUCUAUCAGCAGGGAAGAUAGUGACGGUACCUGACGAAGAAGCGCCGGCUAAAUACGUG